rnacentral:lncRNA from 10 species
UUUUUCAUGUUACCAACACAAAGAAAUGAUAAAGUGCUUCCCUUGCAGGUGAAAUGGCCACCAGACCCAGGCUUUCUGGAAUGCAUUCAUUUUCUGCAGUUGAAAGGGACAAUCCCGGAUCUGAAAGAAAGAGCCACAGUGACUCCAAGAGUGGAGCCAGGGCAUGCUGGACACUGCAUAGCUAUGGCCACGUGUGUCACCUCCGAGGGAGAUGUGAGAGAAACGCAGAGGGAUCGCUUGUGACUGUGCCUUCUCGAUGUAUGAUGGACUGUUCUGCUCAAAUAGUUAGAUCUGCUGUAUAACACUCUGUUGCAAUGCUGGGCAGCUGCAGGGAGCCACAGAUCCCAGCCACCCA